AUACUUACGCGCUGGCAGGGAGACCCAGGAAUCAUACUGCGGUUCACCCAGGCGAGGCUCGUCCCUUGCACUCCGGCCGUGCUGACCCCUGCGAUUUCCCCAAAUGUGGAAUCUCGACUGCAAUAAUUUAAUGGUAUGGGGGACUGCGUUCGCGGCUCUCUC